GGGGGCUCGUCCGGGAUAGAGACCCCCACCCAGGGACCACCGACCCAUUUUCGGGAGGUAAGCUGGCCAGCGUUUAUGUGUUUUCUUUGUCAUUUGUG